CAACCACUGCUGUUCCUAAUAACAUGGUCCUAUUUUCGUGCUGUACAAAUAAAGGAUAUCUCAAACAAACACUACCUAAAGUCCAAGGUAAAUCAUUUGGGGGAUAAGAUCAAGAUACAUAGGGCCCACCAACAAAUCACCAUGACUUUUUUUAUAAAAGAUUCAUGAAUUGCUUCUGAAUCAACAGAAAUUAUCAGCAUUGUGUUUGGUUAAAUCUCAUCAAUUCAAGCAAAUGGGUUCUCUAAUGGCAGGUUGGAACUCAACUGUCCAUGAUCCUAGAACUGAGAAAUUUGAGAGGAACAGGUCAUUGACAAAAGAGGAAAUAGAGGCUUACUGGGUAUCAAAAAAGAAAGCUGAGGAAGAACGUCUUAGAGCUAUUUAUGACAUAUCAAUGAAGACCACUAGUCAGAUUCAGGAAAAAAGCACAGUUGAGGAGUCCGAAAGGAAGAUUCAGAGGUCAAGCUCUCUGCCUUUGUCCAACACAAAGGAUGGUCUGCUGCAAAUGGAAACUGAAACAAGCUUCGAGAAACUUAUAAUGAAAAACGGAUGGUGGAUUAGGAGCAACUCUGCAUUUUUGAACGAACCUCCAGUAAUUGUAUCAGAAGUCCCUGCUUACAAGUAUGCAUCACAGUUCCACGUAGCAGGGAUCGCCACCUCCACCGCCACCGCAAACACACAAGCUCCCACUGGAAUUAGUACAUGAUUUAGGAUCUUGUUUAAUGUAUCCUAUCUUAACGUAUGUGUGUGUGUUUAUGUAUUUAUACGUAUGUCCAACCUUGGAACUGUGCUCCAAACUAUGACUAUAGUAAAAGAGGGGUUGUCUGUGUGAGAGUUCAGCUGCUUGACCUGUACAGUACUUAGUGAGCUAAAUCUAUAAUGAUGAGAUUUUGUCAAGGCCUCUUUCUUGUUCAAUUUGAUGGCUCAAAAUUUUGAAUAUUGGUGCACACAAUGUAGAACUUGAAAUAUAAUCCAUAUUAAAGUGUUGUCACUCUUAUUCUAAUCAGAACAUGAUAGUGAAAUGUUUUUGCCCUUCACCUGGUAUUUUAAUGAUUUGCAACCGUAUGCAUUGGCAUAGGGAUUUUCAUUUUAAUCAUGUACUUUUAAAGAGAAUUUAAAUUCAUAAAACAUAACUACUAAAUUGCAAUUAUUUUUUUCCUUAUUUGAUUAAUAAUGUUAUGAUGGCUACAUUUAUAUAUCAAAAGAUGUUCAUCUAUCAUUUUUUAUGUCACAAAUUGUAUUGGUUUAAUGAGUUCUAUUAGUCAUGUUUAUUAUUAAUGAAAAAAUAAGAUAUUAUGUGACAAAUAAAAUGUGAUUAUCAUAAUAAAAGAGUAGUGAUAAUUUAAAUUUUUUUUUUUGGGAAGGGGGGUGGGUUACACGGUAAGGGGUGUUCGUUCCAGCUUACGCACACCUCAACUAAUUUUUUUCCCGGUCCGAUCAAAGAUAGGUCAUCCACGUCAGGAUUAGGAAAUUCAUGAAAAAUUUCUUGCUCAUGACCUGAUCCCAAGAGUUAAACCCUGAAUAAUUGUGUGGAGAGUAUAUCCACCAACCACUUAGAACAAUCCUCAUAUUCAACUUUUAAGUCACUUACGUUCUAUGAAAAUGUGAUAACCAUAAUAUGGAGUAACAAUAUUCAUAUUUCACUUUAGUUAUUCACAUAUUAUCUUUUAUUUUUUAACUAGUCCCAAUGGGAUGUGAAACCCUAAUAAAAUCUUAAAACAUAAUUCAAUGAUUUGCAAUGGAACAAUGAACAAAUAUUUUCGUACUGAUAUUUUUCCUUACUAAAUUGGGCUCGCGUUGGUCCACUUCAUACAACAGACAAAACUGUCUACCUCUCUCCUUCCUUCCCCUGUUCCUGUUCUGUUCUCACAAAUUAUUACAGAUCAAUUCUGUUCCUACACUUUCCCGGAAAAUAACAAAUGGCCGAGAAAAGCAAAAUUCUCAUCAUCGGUGGAACAGGGUACAUUGGAAAAUUCAUAGUGGAAGCGAGCUCCAAGGCUGGCCACCCCACCUUCGUUUUGAUUAGAGAAACCACAAUUUCAGACCCUUUUAAAGCAAAACUCAUUGGUUUCUUCAAGAACUCAGGGGUCACUAUGCUCCAUGGUGAUGUGUACGAUCAUGGUACUUUGGUGAGGGCAAUAAAGCAGGUGGAUGUGGUGAUAUCAGCAGUUGGAGGAGGCACAAUGAUAGAAGAUCAGGUGAAGAUCAUUGCGGCCAUUAAAGAAGCUCGAAACAUCAUGAGGUUCUUCCCUUCAGAGUUUGGAAAUGAUGUGAAUCGUAGUAAUGCAGUCGAGCCAGCAAAAUCUGCAUUUGCAAUGAAAGCCCAAAUUCGCAGAGCUGUUGAAGCUGAGGGAAUUCCUAUCCACCUAUGUGUCUUCUAACAAAUUCGCCGGCUGUUUUCUCCCUACAUUUGAACAGCCAGGACUCACUGCUCCUCCUAGAGACAAAGUAACCAUUCUUGGGGAUGGAAAUCACAAAGCAACAUUCAAUGAGGAACAUGACAUUGGUACCUACACCAUCAAAGCUGUGGAUGACCCAAGAACAUUGAACAAGAUCCUAUACAUCAGGCCUCCUAAAAACAUUUACUCAUUCAACGAGCUUGUUUCACUAUGGGAGAAGAAGAUUGGCCUGACCCUUCAAAGAAUCUAUGUUCCAGAGGAGCAAAUUCUGAAGCAAAUCCAAGAGUCCCCAACCAACAAAAUGAUAUUAUCAAUCAACCACUCUGUUUUUGCAAAGGGAGAUCAGAACAACUUUGAGAUUGAGCCCGCAUUUGGGGUUGAGGCUUCUGGGGUUUUUCCAGAUGUCAAGUACAUGACUGUGGAAGAAUACCUUGAUCGGUUUGUUUGAGAGGUUAUAAACUUUUGCUUUUGUUGUUACUAAAAUGAAAACAGAGAGGUUUUGGGUUCAAUGGAUUCAUGUAAGAAAAUCUGAAUUUUAUGAAAUGAAUGAACUAACCACCAUCAUUGCAGUUCGAA